rnacentral:rRNA from 1 species
CCAAUAGCGUAUAUUAAAGUUGUUGCAGUUAAAAAGCUCGUAGUUGAAUUUCGGGAUCAAUACCAUCGGUCGUGCCUCCGGUAUGCACUGGGGUCAUUGGUUCCUCCCUUCUGAGGAUCUAUGAUGCCAUUAAUUUGGUGUGGUGGGGAAUCAGGACUGUUACCUUGAAAAAAUUAGAGUGUUUAAAGCAGGCAGACGCUUGAAUACAUUAGCAUGGAAUAAUGAAAUAGGACGUUCGAACCUAUUUUGUUGGUUUCUAGGAUCAACGUAAUGAUUAAUAGGGAUAGUUGGGGGCAUUAGUAUUCAAUUGUCAGAGGUGAAAUUCUUGGAUUUAUUGAAGACUAACUACUGCGAAAGCAUUUGCCAAGGAUGUUUUCAUUAAUCAAGAACGAAAGUUAGGGGAUCGAAGACGAUCAGAUACCGUCGUAGUCUUAACCAUAAACUAUGCCGAUUAGGGAUCGGAUGAAGUUAAUUUUUUAAUGACUCAUUCGGCGCCUUACG